rnacentral:sRNA from 1 species
AAGGUGUAUGGCACUUAGGGCUUUAAA